rnacentral:rRNA from 1 species
GUAGUCCACGCCGUAAACGUUGGGCGCUAGAUGUGGGGACCUUUCCACGGUUUCCGUGUCGUAGCUAACGCAUUAAGCGCCCCGCCUGGGGAGUACGGCCGCAAGGCUAAAACUCAAAGGAAUUGACGGGGGCCCGCACAAGCGGCGGAGCAUGCGGAUUAAUUCGAUGCAACGCGAAGAACCUUACCAAGGCUUGACAUAACCGAGAACGCCGCAGAAAUGUGGAACUCUUUGGACACUCGGUUACAGGUGGUGCAUGGUUGUCGUCAGCUCGUGUCGUGAGAUGUUGGGUUAAGUCCUGCAACGAGCGCAACCCUCGUCGCAUGUUGCCAGCACGUCAUGGUGGGAACUCAUGUGAGACUGCCGGGGUCAACUCGGAGGAAGGUGGGGAUGACGUCAAAUCAUCAUGCCCCUUAUGUCUUGGGCUUCACGCAUGCUACAAUGGCCGGUACAAAGGGCUGCGAUGUCGUAAGGCGGAGCGAAUCCCAAAAAGCCGGUCUCAGUUCGGAUUGAGGUCUGCAACUCGACCUCAUGAAGUCGGAGUCGCUAGUAAUCGCAGAUCAGCAACGCUGCGGUGAAUA